AGUGGGUCCUCUGCCUGUAACUCCAGCAGGAAACAAGUUCUUGAUGACAAUUACAGAUUACUACACAAAGUGGGCUGUAGCUGCUGCUCUAAAAGACAAAACUGCAUUGUCAGUAGCCAAUGUCUUAUACUCGGUAUUUUGCACAUACGGCUGCCCUACUGUUAUCCUCAGUGACCAAGGAAGAGAAUUUGUCAAUAAAAGUUACUGAGGCACUCUUUAAAAGAACAAACACACAGCAUAGAAUCACUUCCGCCUAUCAUCCUCAAACUAAUGGCCUCACGGAGCGAUUCAAUCAGACAAUCUGUCGUUCUCUCAGCAAGUUAGUGAAUGAAGCACACAAUGAUUGGGAUACAAAGCUAGACACUAUUCUGUUUGCAUACCGAGUGUCAAAACACCGAUCAACCAGCUAUUCACCAUUCUUCAUGAUGUUUCAUCGUGAAGCUCGGCUGCCUAUAGAAGCAGAUGUAGAGCAAAACGAAAUAGUGACCAGUGCAUGAAGAUAUAGAUACAGAGACAACUGCAGAUGCUUUUAUUGAGAAAAUGCUCAAGAGGCAAGAAGAUAUAAAGAGCAUAGCUGGUGAAAACAUAAAAAAAUCUCAAAAAAGCAAAAGGAGUGCUAUGAUAAACGGCAUUCACCAGAGAAACUGCAACCUGGAAUCAAGGUUUUGGUUGAGAACACCCAACAAAAGGAGAGGAAAGGUGGAAAGCUCGAAAACAAGUAUAGUGGACCAUACAUUAUUAAGACCUCAGAUGGAAAGGGUGUCUUUACCCUUAAGGACUUGGAUGGGAAGGUGUUAAAAAAGAAAUGUAAUAUCAAACGUCUCAAGGCUUAUAUGGAUCCUUCUUCAUUGGUUGAACAAAAAGCUCUCAGUGGCCAAACUCCACCGGAUAAAUCCAAUGGCUCUACCCCACCAGAGAAAUCCAAUGGCCCCACCCCACCAGAAGAUCCAAAUGGCCCCCUCCCCACCGGAGAAAUCCGAUGGUCCCACCCCACCAGAAGAUCCAAAUGGCCCCACCCCAGCGAAGAAAUCCAAUGGCUCUACCCAACCAGAGAAAUCCAAUGGCCCCACCCACCAGAAGAUUCAAAUGGCCCCACCCCACCGGAGAAAUCUAAUGGCCCCACCCCACCAGAAGAUCCAAAUGGCCCCCUCCCCACCGGAGAAAUCCGAUGGUCCCACCCCACCAGAAUACAUGGACAUGGACCUGUGGUGACUCAUUUGCAACCAAUUGAUGUCCCCUUAGACCGUCCACCACCACCUAAGAGACGAAAGUCUAAUCAGUCUGUACCUAAGAGUCAAAAGACCAGGUAUGCUGGGAGUCUCUGGAUACCUGACUUAGAUCUACGUUACAGGGAUAGGGCAGUUGUAAAGAGAGGAAAACUAUGUGACAAGCAUAUAAAUUAUGUAUGCUGCCCAUGAAGUGCUGAGGUAUCAGUUCCCUCAUCUGCAUGGUCUUCAAUCGACAUUACUUAUACUCAAAAAGAGUUUAAAGCAAUGCAAUGUCAUGACUCUGUUGUAAGAGGUAAGGGUUAGGCUUAUAUAAUGUUAUCUCGAUGGAUCACUAAUUAUGCCUCGAGGCGUAGCCGCAGGAGGGAUACGGUAAAGCUGACUGUGUGUGUGUGUGUGUGUGUGUGUGUGUAUAUUCCAGCAGUAACUGCUCAACGGUUGCAAUGCGACGAAAACUAACAGCUUCUAUAGGCUUCUAGCCACGUUCUCUUGGAUUUUGAUUCGUGGGUUAGCAAACUAAAGCUUCUUUCUCUAGUUAUGGCUAGUUUGACUCACAUUGAAGGCCUCUUCAGAAUCUUUCAUAGCAUCAUCUGUUCGCACAAACUUUCUAUUCAACAUAUGAGUUAGCCUUGCACUAAAGCGCUAGCUUUUUGUUAGCUACAAGACUCAGAAAAUAUCUGUUAA